UACGUAGGGCGCAAGCGUUGUCCGGAAUUAUUGGGCGUAAAGAGCUCGUAGGCGGUCUGUUACGUCCGCUGUGAAAACCCAGGGCUUAACCCUGGGCUUGCAGUGGAUACGGGCAGACUAGAGGCAGGUAGGGGAGAAUGGAAUUCCCGGUGUAGCGGUGAAAUGCGCAGAUAUCUGGAGGAACACCGGUGGCGAAGGCGACGUCCUGGACCGGCAUUGACGCUGAGGCGCGAAAGCCAGGGGAGCAAACGGG
rnacentral:rRNA from 1 species